GAACCGCGGCUGGGGCCGGAGUGAGGAGCGCGGCGUGGAGGUGCCACCCGCGGGUGGCGGAGAGAUCAGAAGCCUCUUCCUCAAGCCGAGCCAACCUCAGCGGGGACCCGGGCUCAGGGGCGCGGCGGCGGCGACUGCAGCGGCUGGACGAUGGCAGCGCCCGCCGAAGCCGGGGCGGUGAUUGCAGCCCCAGACAGCCGGCGCUGGCUGUGGUCGGUGCUGGCGGCGGCGCUUGGGCUCUUGACAGCUGGAGUAUCAGCCUUGGAAGUAUAUACGCCAAAAGAAAUCUUCGUGGCAAAUGGUACACAAGGGAAGCUGACCUGCAAGUUCAAGUCUACUAGUACAACUGGCGGGUUGACCUCAGUCUCCUGGAGCUUCCAGCCAGAGGGGGCCGACACUACUGUGUCGUUUUUCCACUACUCCCAAGGGCAAGUGUACCUUGGGAAUUAUCCACCAUUUAAAGACAGAAUCAGCUGGGCUGGAGACCUUGACAAGAAAGAUGCAUCAAUCAACAUAGAAAAUAUGCAGUUUAUACACAAUGGCACCUAUAUCUGUGAUGUCAAAAACCCUCCUGACAUCGUUGUCCAGCCUGGACACAUUAGGCUCUAUGUCGUAGAAAAAGAGAAUUUGCCUGUGUUUCCAGUUUGGGUAGUGGUGGGCAUAGUUACUGCUGUGGUCCUAGGUCUCACUCUGCUCAUCAGCAUGAUUCUGGCUGUCCUCUAUAGAAGGAAAAACUCUAAACGGGAUUACACCGGGUAAGAAACACUGUUUUUUUAGGGCAGGGGUGGAGGGAGGGAAUCAGGGUUUAUAGAAACUUCUGUAUUUAAUGAAAAAAGGAUUUUAAAGAAUUAACUACUAUUUUCUUUCAUGUCAGAAUCAGGCAGUCUCCUUAGGAGGUGUUCUAACAUGGGCAAGUGGAAAUCAGUGGGCCUGCUAUUAAAUGUGGAAUAUGAUUCUAAUCUCUGUUUCAGUUUCCUUCUUAGGUUUGGUGAGAUGAGCUGCUCAGCAGCCUGUGCUCUGUGUUUCAAUACCAUCCACUAUGCAAUUAGUAUUCUUAAGACAUCACUUACCCAAUUUAAGAGUUUAAUUUCAAUUUCUUGCUAAUAAACUCAUAAGGUGGUUCUUUCCAGUUAGGAAAUAUAAAACCCUAAUUAAGAAGUUGUGAGCUGAAAUUAGUGGCAUGUGCCUGUAAGUCCCAGCUACUUAGGCUGAGGCAGGAGGAUUGCUUGAGCCCAGAUGUUUGAGUCUAGCCUAGGCAACAUAGCAAGAUCCUGUCUCUUAAAAAAA
rnacentral:sRNA from 1 species